CAAAGGCCCCAAAGGAAGCCACGGCUAACUCUGUGCCAGCAGCCGCGGUAAUACAGAGGUGGCAAGCGUUGUUCGGUAUUAUUGGGCGUAAAGAGCACGUAGGCGGUUCUGUAAGUCAGAUGUGAAAGCCUUCUGUUCAAAGGAAGAACGGCAUCUGAAACUACAGAUCUUGAGUGUAGGAGGGGAGAGUGGAACUUCUGGUGGAGCGGUGAAAUGCGUAGAUAUCAGAAGGAACGUCGGCGGCGAAAGCGACUCUCUGGCCUAUUACUGACACUGAGUGUGCGAAAGUUAGGGGAGCAAACGGGAUUAGAUACCCCGGUAGUCCUAACUGUAAA
rnacentral:rRNA from 1 species